rnacentral:rRNA from 1 species
UACGGGGGGUGCAAGCGUUAAUCGGAUUUACUGGGCGUAAAGCGUGCGUAGGCGGCUUGGUCAGUUGGGUGUGAAAGCCCCGGGCUUAACCUGGGAACUGCACUCAAUACUGCCAAGCUAGAGUUUCAGAGAGGAAGGAAGAAUUCCAGGUGUAGCGGUGAAAUGCGUAGAUAUCUGGAGGAAUACCGAUGGCGAAGGCAUCCUUCUGGCUGAAAACUGACGCUGAGGUACGAAAGCGUGGGUAGCGAACAGG